UCAACAGACUAUUCUCUGACCAGAACUUUCCCUGUUGAUACUAUUUAUAAUUUUCAUUGCCUUUACGAUUUUACAUAUCAGAAGUCAUUUCUUGAAUUGUUUAUAGUUUGUUUCUUGUUACCUGGUUGCCUUAAAUUAUAAUCUUUUCACUGGCCACUGAAAGAGGUUUAUGCUUCAGAAGAACACUAUCCUAUCAGCAGAUCUUUAUAACGCAAAUGGUGUUGACCUUUUUUUAACUUCUUAGAAAUCAUAAUAAAUCAGGCACGAGAACAAUAAACUACAGUGAUGUUGUUCAUUUCUGUUGGUGCAGUUCAUAGCUGGUCUGGAUCAGAAGAAAUGCCAUUUGGUCCAGUUGAUCAUGUGGGAGGCACGAGGAUGCAGGUGAAGAAGGAAAUACAAGACCUUUGUAGGACGCAGAGUGUGGGAAUCUCCUCACCCGAUUGUUAUUAGUUUAUGGAGUAACAAUAGAGAGUUGAUCCCAGAGCCUUCUCUCAGACUGGACUUAAGCUGUCAUUACCAACACGCUCUGCAUAAAGGGACUUUCAUCAAAAGUUUAUUUGGUAGCCAUGGUAACCUAAUGACAUAGUGGAGCACAUGGAUUUCAAGCUGCAAGACUGAUGCCUUGAUGUCCAGAAAAGUUUUUAGUUUAAGCAUCAAAAUAUAGAACAAUCAUAAAAACCAUGACAGAUGGUUACUAGCGGUGCAAGGACAGCAUACUAGUUAAAAGAGCUCGGCAAACAAGGAAGACGCCACAACAGGCGCCUAUCUCACCUGAAGGAAUUUCUGCAUUUCCUGCAGCCAAAUAUGGUCAACUCCCACUGGAUUCCGGUACUGAAUUGUGCAACUACCUCCUCUUGAAGUAACACGCAACAUCCUGCUUGAUUUCAAAGAUUUUUUUACGGUCAUACGUCAUUUUGUACUAAGUAAACAUCCCAGAGGUCUACUGUAACCCUUUGGUUUCCUGUUGGGUUCCUAAGCGGUUCGUGUAACCUUUAUUGUUGUAAAGGUCUGCAAAUAUCAAUUCAUUUUUGAACGGUUGACUCUGUGCAUUGUUAUUUUAUCUUUGUUGUUAGAAUCUUUGAAGUUUUUGACAAAAGAUCUUUGGUAAAUAGUCUUCUAGCCACAUUAAAUCAGAUUGUCUAAAAAUACUUUCUUUGCUUUCAAAAGAUUACCACAGCUCACAAUUUCAUUAAUGUUUAUAAGAAUAUUAAUAUUGUUUCAAAUUAAAUUUACUUGACUGCAAUGCCAGAAGAAAUGCUCUCAUUUUCCACUGAAGCGUUACAAUAGCACAUAUUGUUUGCACUGUAUUUAUCCUGUAUUUCAAAUCACCCUUAUGAAGUCAUACCCUCAUUGUGAUUUUUGCUUGUUUUGUUUAUCCAGGUGCCUCUAUUCAGUAUGUAUGUGAAAACUUGAUGUAUUUGUCGUUGUUCUUAAUGAAGUAACAAUGCUUAAUACAUACACUUAAUCCAUAAUGUUCACAUACUGUAUGUACACAGUUAUAAGAUCCAUACGCUUGCAAACAAUGUCAAACAUGAUUCUCAAUAGCACUUAUAUUACACACAAACUCUCAUAAAUAGGAUAUAAGAGAGCUACACACUUCUCUAACAACCUUACGACUUGACCCAUUGUUCAAGGAUGUGGAUCAAUAGUCACAUUUUAGACAUGACACAGGCCUGCAAUUUCUGCAACUGUGUAUGUAAUCGAACGAGAGAGAGAGAGAGAGACAGUCAAAGAGUUUAUGUCCACUUGCUUCUCUCUGCUGAAUUCUCUUAAUGUACACAGAGCAUAAAAACCCAACCGUGAUUUAUAGUACACUGUAAUGCAUUUCUACAUAUCGCCAUUGUGAUUUGGAAAGUGGUCAUGGUUUGUAUUCACCGGAGAAACAAAAAAAUCAAUUUUUCACCUUUUGUCACACUAUUCAUUCUGUCAUUUCACAAUGACAGUCUGGGUGUGUUCUCGGUUGGUUAGCGCUGAACGGUUUGCUUAGAUCAAUGCUGAUUCUUGCCUUAUUGAAAAGUACACAUUUUAGCCGCUGUGCUGUAAUAGCGAAGAACAAUCAGGGCCUAUUCAGGGCUGAAGGACACCCUCCCUCAGUCAACAUUUGGCUCUCAAAUCCAUAGCCAGCAUCGGCUCUCUGGCCCCCGGAAUGCAUCAGUUACUUUCAAUGCUCAGAUAUUCAUUUACAGAGUUGUUGUGGGGAUAUUUUGUCUUGCCAACUAAACACAAAUGCAGUGAGAAAACGUUUCGAUGUAGUGAAGCCGGCUACUGUACAAGCAGAUGUGCCUUAGCAAGGUCGUAUCUUCAAUAAUUUUACUUUUCGUUUGUAAAAGCUAAGGUGUGCAUACAGUCAGAGGGCCCAAUAUUUGUAAUAUAGUCUUUCUCUCCAGGCAUAAAACGGAUAUUGAAACUAAAUAACCAAUCCAGCACGUGUUCAAGAGUGUGUGAGAGAGAGCGAGUGGUGUAAUAUGAGCUCCUGAAGGUGAGAAGUUCCAGGUCCAGUGCUGGUAACCACACACUAAAACUCACCACAAUCCAUCAACCAAUUGCCUAUGCAAAUUUGAUACCAGCCAGUGAAAGACAUGUCUGUUCUUUAAUAGUUUGUGUAUAUAUGUAUAUAAUUCUGCAUAAAUACACAUCAGAUAGCCCAGUGAUUCUUUAUUAAAUCAAUGCUGAUUUAGUAAAUGUCAGGUGUUUCACAUGUGUCUGUAUUGACUUUCUGUAGCAUCAUGCUGGAUUGAAUGUUUAGUAAUGUGGAAGAUCACUGCAGAUAAACACAUUUAAUAGCAUGCAAUUACAUCGGGUGACAGGUUUGACGACAGACUUGCUGGUUGUCAAUACUGUAUGGGAUUUUUUGUACUUCUGUAAAAAGAUACAUGAUAUCUUUACUUAUUUACUUAUUUAAAUACUUGUAAGAGCGAUUUUGAGUUUACAUCAUGGAAGAUUUCAUUGAAUGUUUUUAAAUAAACUAAUAAUAAUGCUUCAUUGCAGUCGUGAGAUUGACAGCCGUCCUUUUUCCUAAUGCUUGUAUGCCUAAACAUGAAAGUAAGGUACUUGGUGUGUUUAUAAAUAAAUACCAAUCAGAUCCAAUGUCAGUUGAGGCUUGUUUGAAAUAAUAAUAAAUAUAAAACAGUGGUUUGCUGCUGUAAGUUGCAUCUGUAUGUUCUUUCAUAAACUAUAUGAGUAUGGGAAACUGUCAUUGCGCAGUGCAUUCUGGGUAGUUGGCGCCAUGUUUUCGGACACACAUCAGGGCAUUGGGCAGGGGUGGCGUAUGUCGAUCCUGGAAAGCCACAGUCCUGAAUUUAGUUCCAACUAUAGUCAACAGGAUAAUCAAGGUAUAAAGGGUCAUUAAAAAGCUGCAGGCAGGUGAGGUUUGGACUGCGGCUCUCCAGGACCAACGUUCACCACCCCUGGCAUAGGGCAUUAAUGCCCUGCAUUUAUACAAUUUCCAGAAAAUAGCAGGUCAUUGACCUGGAUACUGUUAAAGUUAUGGAUAAAAUAACAUGAAUGUGAAUGGGUACCUGGUGCAAUUGUGAUUGCAGACAUGGAUCUGAAGUUAUAACCCAGUUAACGUAUUGUAUAAAUUGCAUAUAAAUGUAAUUAUGAUUUAUAUGCUCAUCGACACUACUAUGCAUCUGAAAUUGCAUAAUAUACAUUGCGUAAUGCAUACAUUACACAAAGAAUUUGGAUCUCCCCGAAACUUAGUUAAACUGUCCAUUAUGUUCAUGACACAGUAGCCCAAUCUAACCCUUAAAAACUGUUCACCUUGUCUAACCUGUGACACAACUGAAGAUUUGCCAUAAACAG